rnacentral:lncRNA from 1 species
AACAGAAGAAAAACCACACGCUGAUGCUGGCAAAACAUUUCAUUAAUGGUAGCUUGUUAUAUGUCACUGUUAGCCUGCAUGACAUAGUUGUUAGGCGAUGAAAAUAGUACUAGGUCUAGGCUACACUAUCAUGGAAACGAAACAAGUCUACACAUAAGGACAUGUCACUAGAACCAGACUUCUCAACCGAACAUGCAUACAAGAAUGAUAUAUGUUCCCUCAACACACAAGAGCAAAGGACUGACCAGCCAGCCAGAUCAUGGCCUUUAGCCGGUAAUAGUCAUAUUCCACCCCAAAAUUCAUUCUUUUUUUCUCGAACACGCAGGAGAGCUGCGUAUCAUUGUAUUAAUAGUAGAACAAGGAGUCAUACAGAGACCCAAACACACACCCACACACACUAGAACCUGUAGAUCCUAAUCACCUUUUACAAGAAAAAACCCCAAAAUUCAUUCUUAUUGUAACUUUAUUCAAAGUCAUCGAUUUAAAACGCCAAAGGGCAUGUAAUAGCAAACGGGAAUCAGAACAGAGCAAAUAAAAGAGGCAAAAAUAUUAAUCAACCUGUGUGAACACUUCUCCAGGAGCUGAUGGGGAAGCAAUAACUAGCAGAAAUAAGCUGGUUGUCCACUGUUUUUUUCCCAUUACCCUGGACCUGAAAAAUUAGUAUUUUGUUUAGCCACAUCAAUUUGAUUCUUAAAGAUACUGAGGGCGACUGGCAAGGAUUUACAUGGUCCUGACAAUAGGCACCACUUCAACAGGUAGGGAGAUUUUAAGGAUUGGAAGGCGCAUGUGACUGUCCCCUUUGGUACUGUUGCACGCACCAGGGCAAAUGUACUGAUGAUAGCUAGAGUACUUGCUACCUGUGGAGGCAAGCUGCGGAGGGAGGUUCAAAGGAUGAAAGGAGGACAAAUUGGUCGUGUUUAAAAGAAUAUUGACAUUUCAUUUAUCUUAGAGUGAUUGAGUGGCAUUUUUUUCUUGGGGGCCUUUGAUAUCAUUCUAAAAAGAAGCAUGGGAGCACUAAAAAUAAAAUAGUUAUUAAAAAAUAAUAAAGAAAAUUCGAAAACUGAUGUAAUAAAGCCCAAAGAAUAAUUAUAGAAAACGCAAUACCUUCGUCAUACCAUAGAUUUUUCAGAUUGCCCGUUCAACACGAAAAUAUCAAACUUUGAAAUUUUACAGGCCUUCAGCUAUAAGAUUCUAGAAAACAAAAAAAAAAGCAAAUUAACAAUUUCGGUAGGCAUAGAGUAUCUCUUACUGUUAGAUGGUGCACAGAAGAAACAGCCAACAGGUGCAUGAACACAAUCUUCCGGAAAACAAUAACAUAAUGACAGGUCACAAGCUACCACUACCGUACUAGGAAGCUACAAGCUAGUGUUUUCGAAAGUGGCAAUCAUGUGUACUACUAGCCUGUUCGCUUCAGGAAAAGAAAACAUCAAACCUGUAUAUCUGAGGAACUGUUCCCGUUUAACUGACGACAGCAACAUCAGUGACAAAAAUUAUGAUGGACCAAAAACAAGCACACAACCUGACAGACUAUUGUCUGCCAUCAUAAGGAAAGGGAAGACAUAAACGGUAAAGAAAAUGACAUGAGAAAUCAGAUCUAGCUUUUCGUGCAAGUAAGUUGUAAACAUAUGCAAAGCAAGUAGGCUGGUGUAACUAACAGGAAAUUGAUGCGGUAUGCAAUGACUAAACCAUGCAACCACUACUGGGCAAAGGAAAUCAGUGAAGUGAAGUAUUACAAGUAAGCGUAACUCCUAUAUUUAGCAUAGGAUGCAUAACAGAUAAUCCCUUCGAAUUCACAUCCCGAUGUGCCAACGCACUGAGUGCUAUCCAAAAUUUUUACUGUAGUGUUACUAGCACUAGCUGUACAGGGGCUACUUGGUCUUUCGCACAACACGGUCUGUUCGUGAUUCACGUGUGCCUUCAGGAGUUCAGUACUUCAGGUCCAGGAUGAUGAUCAGGCUGAUCUGAAUUGCAAUCUAAAUUCUCUCUGCCCUUUAAAAAUUCAGUAGCACUUGAGGUCAAUCGGUCACUGCAGAACUUACAUCAAGCUGCGGCAUAUGUCCGAAUAAGCAACCAUAAAACAAUUCACUAGAAAACCAGCGAAUCACCAGGACAAUUAACAAUACAGUUCUAGAGGAGAUGGAAGUAAGCAACAACCGUAAAAAAAAAAAACUAUCUGCAGAAAUCGGCGACUUUGAACGGAGGCACAGGUAUUCUGGCGCCGCUGCUCUAAAUCGAGCGGUUAAAUCUAUAGAAGGGGAACGAAAGGAUACGGCAUUGGUUAUUGUUACCUCGCCACCUCGGUGAGAUCUGCCUUGGCCAUAGUUGCCGGAGGCGAGAUCACUGAAGAGCGCCGCGCGGCGCCGCCGCCGCCGCCCCGUUGCCUUUCGGGAGAGGUCGAGGACCCCGUUGAGCCUGCGCCAUUACAUGGGCUUGGCAAUG